rnacentral:rRNA from 1 species
AACGAUGAUCACUAGACGUCAGUUUGGCUUGCCGAAUUGGUGUCGUAGCUAACGCGUUAAGUGAUCCGCCUGGGGAGUACGAUCGCAAGAUUAAAACUUAAAGGAAUUGACGGGGGUCCGCACAAGCGGUGGAACAUGUGGUUUAAUUCGACACUACGCGAGGAACCUUACCUGGGCUUGACAUGUUUUUGACCGCUGUAGAAAUACAGCUUUCCAAGCUUCGGUUUGGACAAUUUCACAGGUGCUGCAUGGCUGUCGUCAGCUCGUGUCGUGAGACGUUAGGUUAAGUCCUCUAACGAGCGCAACCCUUGCCAUCAGUUGCUACUAUCGCAAGAUAGGCACUCUGGUGGGACUGCCUGGGAAACCAGGAGGAAGGUGGGGACGAUGUCAAGUCAUCAUGGCCCUUAUGUCCAGGGCUACACACGUGUUACAAUGGCCGGUACAGAGGGUUGCAAUACCGUAAGGUGGAGCUAAUCCCAGAAAGCCGGUCUAAGUUCGGAUUGAGGUCUGCAACUCGACCUCAUGAAGUUGAAAUCGCUAGUAAUCGCGUAUCAGCAACGACGCGGUGAAUACGUUCUCGGACCUUGUACACACCGCCCGUCACGCCAUGAAAGUUGUUUGUACCCAAAGUUGUUUUAGCUAACCUGUAA